rnacentral:rRNA from 1 species
CACGUAGGGCGCAAGCGUUGUCCGGAAUUAUUGGGCGUAAAGAGCUCGUAGGUGGUUUGUUACGUCUGCUGUGAAAACCUAGGGCUUAACCCUGGGCUUGCAGUGGAUACGGGCAGACUAGAGGUAGGUAGGGGAGAAUGGAAUUCCUGGUGUGAGCGGUGAAAUGCGCAGAUAUCAGGAGGAACACCGGUGGCGAAGGCGGUUCUCUGGGCGUUACCUGACACUGAGGAGCGAAAGCGUGGGGAGCGAACAGG